rnacentral:tRNA from 1 species
GGCUUCGUAGCUCAGCUGAUACAGCGUUUGCCGCGUUGAGGCAUGAAGUUUUUGUCGCUGGUUCGAAUCCAGCCGAACUCC